CGACGCAGCAACGCCGCGUGUGUGAUGAAGGUCUUCGGAUUGUAAAACACUUUCGACCGGGACGAAAACCCUCUGGCCAACACCCAGGGGCUUGACGGUACCGGGAGAAGAAGCACCGGCUAACUCUGUGCCAGCAGCCGCGGUAAUACAGAGGGUGCAAGCGUUGUUCGGAAUUAUUGGGCGUAAAGCGCGUGUAGGCGGCUUUGCAAGUCGGGUGUGAAAGCCCUCAGCUCAACUGAGGAAGUGCGCCCGAAACUGCAGAGCUUGAGUGCCAGAGAGGGUGGCGGAAUUCCCCAAGUAGAGGUGAAAUUCGUAGAUAUGGGGAGGAACACCGGUGGCGAAGGCGGCCACCUGGACGGUAACUGACGCUGAGACGCGAAAGCGUGGGGAGCAAACAGGAUUAGAUACCCUGGUAGUCCACGCCGUAAACGAUGAGAACUAGGUGUCGUGGGUGUUGACCCCCGCGGUGCCGUAGCUGACGCAUUAAGUUCUCCGCCUGGGAAGUACGGUCGCAAGACUA
rnacentral:rRNA from 1 species